rnacentral:rRNA from 1 species
CACGUAGGGGGCAAGCGUUGUCCGGAUUUAUUGGGCGUAAAGAGCUCGUAGGCGGCUCAGUAAGUCGGGUGUGAAACCUCCAGGCUCAACCUGGAGACGCCACUCGAUACUGCUGUGGCUUGAGUCCGGUAGGGGAGCGUGGAAUUCCUGGUGUAGCGGUGAAAUGCGCAGAUAUCAGGAGGAACACCAGCGGCGAAGGCAGCUCGCUGGGACGGUACUGACGCUGAGACGCGAAAGCGUGGGGAGCAAACAGG